rnacentral:rRNA from 1 species
AUAAUAAUUUGUUUUUUAAAUAAAAACUAGUAUGAAUGGCUUCACAUUUUCUAACUGUCUCUCUUUAUUCUCUUUUAAAUUUCUACUUCCGUGAAGAAGCGGAAAUAAUAAUAUAAGACGAGAAGACCCUGUCGAGCUUUAGCCAAUUUAAAAUAAAUAUUUAUUAAAAAGGCUUUGGUUGGGGCAACCAUGGAGAAAAUUUAUCCUCCAGAAAUAAAAGAUGAAUUAUUAUUCUCUUAAUUUAAAUUUGAACCAAUUUAUUUUGGUAAUCAGAAAUAGUUACCGCAGGGAUAACAGCGUAAUCUUCUUUAAGAGCCCAUAUUGACA